UGAGGAACAGAAGCCUGAGGAGCAGGAGGAAGAAGUUCAGCAACCAUUCUCAACCGUAUAUUGAAAUGUGUUUGUGUUUUUGUGUCAGAGUGGGUGUCUUUGUCUGGUGAGGAUCUUUGUUUCCCAUCUAGGUGCUCUAUCUCUCUGAUUGGCUGGAGGUGUGGGUUGGGUCUCGGGUGUGCCGGCUGCUGAUUGGUCCAAACAUCAUCUCUGCAGUUUAAAAUGCUCAGGUGAACUGCCCUCUUCACCCUACUGGACCCAGAACAAGGCCUACUGGUGGAAGACUCUGGCAUCAGGACAUCACAUCAGACUGAACUCUUUGACCCCGCUCACCUCUGAAAGGGACUAUGAAGUCAUUUCAGUGUUCAACACCAAGAAGCCCCGUCGUCUCCUGCUGAAAUCAUUACCAAAAAAGAAAUGAAGCUAAAAACGAGGUCAACAAAUCUGAACAAGAGUGAAGAGAGAAGAUAAAUAUACACGUCAGAUCCACAGGGAGCCACUGGAGAGGAGCUGAAGAGACGCAGGUUGCAGACCUCUGGUAUAGAUACUAGCGCCAACCAAGAUGUGCUGCUUCAACACAGUAAACUGACGCUUUACCUCGCCAUCAGACAGCCCUUUCCGACGCUCUCUUGAAAGCCAUGAGAGUGUGCAACCUCUGCUGUUUUCUUACAGUCGUUGAGCUUUACCUGAGCAAUAAAGUCUCAUUUAACUUUUUUU